AAAUGCAAUAGAACUAUUCAUGAAAUAUCACCAUGAUUUUAGAAGAUUAAGUGUAUCUUCUAAAAUCAUGGUGAUAUUUCAUGAGUUGACGCUCUAAAU